rnacentral:rRNA from 1 species
CACGGGGGGAGCAAGCGUUGUUCGGAAUCACUGGGCGUAAAGGGCGUGUAGGCGGUCAAGUAAGUGGAAUGUGAAAUCCCCCGGCUUACCCGGGGACCGGCAUCCCAUACUGCUUGGCUUGAGUACGGGAGAGGAUGUGGGAAUUCCUGGUGUAGCGGUGAAAUGCGUAGAUAUCUGGAGGAACACCGGUGGCGAAGGCGGCAUCCUGGACUGUAACUGACACUGAGGAACGAAAGCCAGGGGAGCAAACGGG